AAUCACGAAAUCACUAAGGCGUUAACUUUCCUUCAGGCGUUGUCUAGCUAGCCCUCGGCUAACCGUCCUGCGGCGGGUGAGGUAAUGGCGCUCUGGGGGAGAAGCGGCGGGGGAAACGUUGCUUUACAGCCCGAGGGCUCCCUUCAGUGAAGAAGAUUACGAAAAUAAAACACGGCUAUGGCCAAAUGGGCGUUAUUUUAAAAUACAGUUGCAGUGGUUGAAUUAGCUGCGGUCACAUUUGGGCACGACGUCUGCUACUAGCUAAAUGCUGUUUCUCUUAGAUUUGUGAAAUUGAUUUCUAACACACUUGGCAUGACUUUUGUUUGACAAAAUUGACGGUCCAUUAGUAAAGUGCUCUAGGUCAAUUGUACCUCACGAGGAAGAGAGCUGAUAUUGUUCUGGACAUUUUGAUAUGAAACAUGGGGAUCAUGCUUCAAUAGUGCGGUGGCUGACGUGGACCCUGCUGUGUUGGAUGCUUCACACGUGUACUCUCCUCCAUCCUGCUCCUGCACGCUCGGCACACGCAGCACGCCCCGCUGAAGGUCCUGCUCAGUGAUCAGCUCCAACCUGAGCUCCAGACGUCCUGAGGGAGACACGCUGGGGGGUGGGGUGCCAGUGGCGCUGCACUCCAGAGCCGCAUCCGCACCGAUGAGCGCUGUCACCACUCGCUGUGCGAGCGACACGCUGGGC